CUUGACACUGAACACUGGUCCUUGAUGUGUAGGAUAGGUGGGAGGCUUUGAAGCGUGGACGCCAGUCUGCGUGGAGCCAACCUUGAAAUACCACCCUUUAAUGGCUGGUGUUCUAACGUAGACCCGUAAUCCGGGUUGCGGACAGUGUCUGGUGGGUAGUUUGACUGGGGCGGUCUCCUCCCAAAGAGUAACGGAGGAGCACGAAGGUUGGCUAAUCCUGGUCGGACAUCAGGAGGUUAGUGCAAUGGCAUAAGCCAGCUUGACUGCGAGCGUGACGGCGCGAGCAGGUGCGAAAGCAGGUCAUAGUGAUCCGGUGGUUCUGAAUGGAAGGGCCAUCGCUCAACGGAUAAAAGGUACUCCGGGGAUAACAGGCUGAUACCGCCCAAGAGUUCAUAUCGACGGCGGUGUUUGGCACCUCGAUGUCGGCUCAUCACAUCCUGGGGCUGAAGUAGGUCCCAAGGGUAUGGCUGUUCGCCAUUUAAAGUGGUACGCGAGCUGGGUUUAGAACGUCGUGAGACAGUUCGGUCCCUAUCUGCCGUGGGCGCUGGAGAAUUGAGGGGGGCUGCUCCUAGUACGAGAGGACCGGAGUGGACGCAUCACUGGUGUUCGGGUUGUCAUGCCAAUGGCACUGCCCGGUAGCUAAAUGCGGAAGAGAUAAGUGCUGAAAGCAUCUAAGCACGAAACUUGCCCCGAGAUGAGUUCUCCCUGAGACUUUAAGUCUCCUGAAGGAACGUUGAAGACUACGACGUUGAUAGGUCGGGUGUGUAAGCGCAGCGAUGCGUUGAGCUAACCGAUACUAAUGAACCGUGAGGCUUAACCUU
rnacentral:rRNA from 1 species